rnacentral:misc_RNA from 1 species
AAUUCUCAAUCUUACCAUCUUUUUUAGUUGGGAAAGACUUGGAUGUGGGGGGGGCAUUUUUUGGAGGUUUUUCGAAGCCUUCUCCCCUGAAAUGCAUUAGCUGGAUGCUCGCGCAGACAGUCUAUUGGUGUGAUAAUUAUCUACGCCAUUAGCUGACUGCCAUUAGUAGCUCCGCUUCUAACUGUCUUCGGACAAUUUAUGACA